CCUACGGGGGGCAGCAGUAGGGAAUAUUGCACAAUGGGGGAAACCCUGAAGCAGCAACGCCGCGUGGAGGAUGAAGGUUUUCGGAUUGUAAACUCCUUUUGUUAGAGAAGAUAAUGACGGUAUCUAACGAAUAAGCACCGGCUAACUCCGUGCCAGCAGCCGCGGUAAUACGGAGGGUGCAAGCGUUACUCGGAAUCACUGGGCGUAAAGAGCGCGUAGGCGGGAUAGCAAGUCAGAUGUGAAAUCCUAUGGCUUAACUAUAGAACUGCAUUUGAAACUGUUAUUCUAGAGUAUGGGAGAGGUAGGUGGAAUUCUUGGUGUAGGGGUAAAAUGCGUAGAGAUCAAGAGGAAUACUCGUUGCGAAGGCGACCUGCUAGAACAUAACUGACGCUGAUGCGCGAAAGCGUGGGGAGCAAACAGGAUUAGAUACCCGGGUAGUC
rnacentral:rRNA from 1 species